rnacentral:rRNA from 1 species
UGGGGAAUUUUGGACAAUGGGCGAAAGCCUGAUCCAGCAAUGCCGCGUGUGUGAAGAAGGCCUUCGGGUUGUAAAGCACUUUUGUCCGGAAAGAAAUCCUUGGCUCUAAUACAGUCGGGGGAUGACGGUACCGGAAGAAUAAGCACCGGCUAACUACGUGCCAGCAGCCGCGGUAAUACGUAGGGUGCAAGCGUUAAUCGGAAUUACUGGGCGUAAAGCGUGCGCAGGCGGUUUGCUAAGACCGAUGUGAAAUCCCCGGGCUCAACCUGGGAACUGCAUUGGUGACUGGCAGGCUAGAGUAUGGCAGAGGGGGUAGAAUUCCACGUGUAGCAGUGAAAUGCGUAGAGAUGUGGAGGAAUACCGAUGGCGAAGGCAGCCCCUGGGCCAAUACUGACGCUCAUGCACGAAAGCGUGGGGAGCAAACAGGAUUAGAUACCCUGGUAGUCCACGCCCUAAACGAUGUCAACUAGUUGUUGGGAUUCAUUCCUUAGUAACGUAGCUAACGCGUGAAGUUGACCGCCUGGGGAGUACGGUCGCAAGAUUAAAACUCAAAUGAAUUGAC